AGUCAAUAGAUACCCAGGGUAGUCCUAGCCGUAAACGAUACUCGCUAGGUGUCGGCCACGGUGCGACCGUUGUCGGUGCCGUAGGGAAAGCCGUGAAGCGAGCCACCUGGGAAGUACGGCCGCAAGGCUGAAACUUAAAGGAAUUGGCGGGGGAGCACCACAACGGGUGGAGCUUGCGGUUUAAAUUGGAUUCAACGCCGGAAAUCUUACCGGGACCGACAGCGAUAUGAAGGCCAGGCUGAAGACUUUUGCCGGAUUAGCUGAGAGGUGGUGCAUGGCCGUCGUCAGUUCGUACUGUGAAGCAUCCUGUUAAGUCAGGCAACGAGCGAGACCCACGCCCACAGUUGCCAGCGUACUCUCCGGAGUGACGGGUACACUGUGGGGACCGCCGCUGCUAAAGCGGAGGAAGGAAUGGGCAACGGUAGGUCAGUAUGCCCCGAAUAUCCCGGGCUACACGCGAGCUACAAUGGCUGGAACAAUGGGUAUCUACCCCGAAAGGGGAUGGAAAUCUCCUAAAUCCAAUCUUAGUUCGGAUUGAGGGCUGCAACUCGCCCUC
rnacentral:rRNA from 1 species